AUGCUUCUUGGCUCUGAUGUAUAGAUGAUAGUAGUAGAAGGAAGAAGAGAGGAGAAAUAAGGAGGAUAAAGAGUAAAGAAGGAGAAAAGGAGGAGAAAGAGGAGCAACAACUAAGUCACUUCCUCAAUAUUUUGUUUAAUAUCUUUUUUUCUCUAAGUGUUGUGAUGUUAUUCUAAGAUCAGACGUGUAAAUGGAAGCAAUAGAAGGAAGAAAAAGAGAAACAAAGGAGAAGGAGGAAGAAAGAACGGGAAAAGGAAGCAGAAGAGGAUGGGAAUUCAAACCGCAACAUUUAGAUGACGUCACAACCAAAAUGAUGACUCUUUCCACCACAUCCACCACUACCACCGCCACCACAUCCAUCACCACCACCACCACCACUUAAAAGAGCGGUAACCAGCUGGAAAUGCCAAACGGGCUUAUAACUCGUUGUAAUGUUAGCCAAGAUACAGGAGGCGUUUCUUAGCAUUAUUUUGACAAGAUGAAAUGGAAAUGUAUUAGUGAUGGACAUACUCGUGGUGGCAGCGAGUAAAGAACAUGGGUGUGGUGAGAGAAGAGACGAUUGAAGAAAAGUUGAGGAAAGGUGGGAGAGAGGCCGGGAGGGGGAACAAGGAAGGGCAGAUGUGGAGGAUAUAACUAGAGAAGGAGGGUAGAGGUGAUUUUGAGGGAAAAGCCGGCAGAUUCUGUGUUCGAAAGGGAUCGAAAAUUAUAUAAACUUCAUUAUACACCUUUUCCUCAUCAUGUUAUCGCGUUAUGAGCACGCAGACCUUCAUAUUUUCAAGGUGCUAUGAAGUUAUGAGGUUCAUAGAGGACGUCAAUGAGGUGUAGAGGUGUUAGCCAGCGUGUCAGAUGAGAAUUCGAAGAGAUACAGAAGUUAACUCGUUGAUGUAAUGCAGGGCUAAGGUUUAGUCAACGAUGGGACAUGAUGCCAUGGGUGCGAGUUGUGAGUGACGGACCUCGAGUGCGGAGCUUGUAUGUUGUGUUGUGGUUCUGCGUACGUGCGGGAGUGCUUUUUUUGAGUGUUAGUUCGCGUUCUUCACCUCAUUAUCUUCACGCAUCUUUUUAGAGUAAUGGCCUUGUUAGUGAAGCAGUGACGGUACAAGGUGACUAGGGCUGGUGGAAAAUUGCAGUGCUGAUCCUGAAGUGGUGCUUUAGGUGAGUGCCUACAAGUAAUGGUGGUUCUCUAACCCUUUCCCUUCCAGGUGGUAAUUACAGGUAACUCAGGUGCUAAUAACUUUCACUUG